UGAUCGGGACCCCCGACGUUUCGAAGUGU
rnacentral:sRNA from 1 species